rnacentral:tRNA from 1 species
GGGGGUGUGGCUCAGAAGGAGAGCACCUGCCUGUCACGCGUGAGGCCUUGGGUUCAAUCCCAGCACUGCAA